rnacentral:rRNA from 1 species
AUUGAACGCUGGCGGCAGGCCUAACACAUGCAAGUCGAACGAGUGGCGGACGGGUGAGUAAUGUCUGGGAAACUGCCUGAUGGAGGGGGAUAACUACUGGAAACGGUAGCUAAUACCGCAUACCAUCAGAUGUGCCCAGAUGGGAUUAGCUAGUUGGUGGGGUCACGGCUCACCAAGGCGACGAUCCCUAGCUGGUCUGAGAGGAUGACCAGCGACACUGGAAUUGUGACACGGUGCAGAUUCAGACGGGAGGCAGCAGUGGGGAAUAUUGCACAAUGGUCGGAAGCCUGAUACAGCCAUGCCGCGUGUAUGAAAAAGGCCUUCGGGUUGUAAAGUACUUUCAGCGGGGAGGCGUUACCCGCAGAAUAAGCACCGGCUAACUCCGUGCCAGCGGCCGCGGUAAUUC